CCACCCUUGUAGUACUGGGACUCUAACCAUAGGCCAUGAAUCUGGUCUUGGGACACUGUCAGGUGGGCAGUUUGACUGGGGCGGUCGCCUCCCAAAAGGGAACGGAGGCGCUCAAAGGUUCUCUCAGUACGGUCGGAAAUCGUACGUAGAGUGUAAAGGCAAAAGAGAGCUUGAUUGCAAGACAUACAGGUCGAGCAAGGAUGAAAAUCGGACUUAGUGAUCCGGUGGUUCUGCGUGGAAGGG
rnacentral:rRNA from 1 species